UCUGUCUCAUAGUAAUAUUUUGAAAUUAAUUUUUUAGUUAAAAAGCUAAAAUUAAUCUUAAAGACAAGAAGACCCUAUUAAGCUUUACAAUUUUAUAUUAUUUUCAAACUAAUAAAAUAAUUGUUCUGCUGGGGCAGCAAAUAAAUAAAUAUUAUUUAUAUAUUGUGAUAAAUAAAUCUAGAAAAAUCAAUAAUUUAUUAAAUAAUAACAAGUUACUAUAGGGAUAACAGCAUAAUUUUUUUAAAGAGUUCUCAUCAACAAAAAAGUUUGUGACCUCGAUGUUGGAUU
rnacentral:rRNA from 1 species